AGGGACUGAUGGUUGGCGUGCCCCCGAAACAUGUAUGACAGCAGACGGAGGAGUAGCUAACGACGCGGCAAAUCCCAUUCGACCAAAAGGAACCGUCAAAAGCGAUGUCUUUUCCGAAGGCCUCGUCUUUGGCUAUUAUCUAUUAGGCGGUAUCCAUCCUUUCCGUGGACGAUAUGAACCUGAGACACAAAUGAACAUCAUAGAAAAUCGAUUCAAUCUAAACGGAAUAGAUGAGCACCAUCCCAUGCAUAAUAUUAUCAUGGACAUGUGGAACACUGAUCCUGUAGAAAGGAUUUUAUCAUCCCAAGUCGUGAAAAGAAUCUCCAAAAUAAAAAAAAAUUGGCUGAAAAAGAUCUGCUGUUGUCAACCGGAGCUAAACUUUUUCUAACUAAAUAACAGGUAAUCAUUGUAAUAGCAUUCUGCCAUAAUCAACAGAUUACGAAUACAAUAAAGUAUUCUGGAAAAUAAUAAUCGAACUGAUAAUUGACAAAAAUAACAUUUUCAAACCCACUGAAUGAUUAUACGGUCAGAAAACUUUUACAAUGAUACAAACGCUUAUUCCUAGUCAUCUGAUGAAUAAUAAAAAAUUCAUUGUGUAUGCUGCCGAUUAUUCCUCAUCAUUUCACAAACAUACCCAACCACGGAGAGCGCGAAACUUCGAAAAAGAUUCGAGAUACCUGAUCACUUCCGCCCAAAAUCUGUUUAAUUCGACGAAAUGGAACCCCACCCGAGUCAGUUGGUUAUUGUCUUAUUAGUUAUUACCACAUUAGAAUAAUGUAACUAUUCUAUCACAUAGGCCUUCGUAUGUUGUAGUUUUAAAACAAACUUAAUACAGUGUAAGAACGACCAUUUCAAUUUCAGCAAUUCAAUUACAAGCUAGCGUCAUUGUGGAAAAAAAUGUUUGAAUUUCCAAUUAAUAAACGUCAUUCUUUUUUUUACAACUUUUAGAUUUCUAAAUUUCUCCGCUAGGCUUUCAGACUCCUAGAUUCUACUUCAGUUUUCCCGGCGCAGGAAGAGCAGCCAAUUAAUUUCCGAGUCCUCUACGUUUUCACCUUUCCAAUUUGUUAUCGUCGGCACAUUACACAAAAAGAUGUUAAAUG